rnacentral:misc_RNA from 1 species
AUAUAGCAGAGCUUGAACUCCAACACGUGGAGCUGAACCUGAACCUGAACCUUGUUUUGUGACUCCUAAGAGCGAGCCUGCUAGUUGAGAUGUUACAGUAAUUAUUGUGCAGGUUUUGGAUUUAGACGGUUUCAGCUUCUCAGUUGAAAUUGGUCCAACGUUGAGAAUAAGAUGAUUAGCAGAAAAACACUGAAUAAUGCUCUGUUCAGACCCCUCCACCUGAAUACGUGUCCGAGAAAUCCCUUUCUCUUCAUCUAAUCCAAAUUGA